rnacentral:rRNA from 1 species
CGGCGUGCUAACACAUACAAGUCGAGCGAGGGUUUGCUCAGUAUUGAGUAUUCUAAGUCUAGAAUGUUCAAUUCUGAGCAAAACCAAGCGGCGGACGGGUGAGUAACGCGUGGGUAACCUGCCCUAUACACAUGGAUAACAUACUGAAAAGUUUACUAAUACAUGAUAAUAUAUAUUUGCGGCAUCGCAGAUAUAUCAAAGUGUUAGCGGUAUAGGAUGGACCCGCGUCUGAUUAGCUAGUUGGUGAGAUAACUGCCCACCAAGGCGACGAUCAGUAGCCGACCUGAGAGGGUGAUCGGCCACAUUGGAACUGAGACACGGUCCAAACUCCUACGGGAGGCAGCAGUGGGGAAUAUUGCACAAUGGGCGAAAGCCUGAUGCAGCAACGCCGCGUGAACGAUGAAGGUCUUCGGAUCGUAAAGUUCUGUUGCAGGGGAAGAUAAUGACGGUACCCUGUGAGGAAGCCCCGGCUAACUACGUGCCAGCAGCCGCGGUAAUACGUAGGGGGCUAGCGUUAUCCGGAUUUACUGGGCGUAAAGGGUGCGUAGGUGGUCCUUCAAGUCGGUGGUUAAAGGCUACGGCUCAACCGUAGUAAGCCGCCGAAACUGGAGGACUUGAGUGCAGGAGAGGAAAGUGGAAUUCCCAGUGUAGCGGUGAAAUGCGUAGAUAUUGGGAGGAACACCAGUAGCGAAGGCGGCUUUCUGGACUGCAACUGACACUGAGGCACGAAAGCGUGGGUAGCAAACAGGAUUAGAUAACCUGGUAGUCCACGCUGUAAACGAUGAGUACUAGGUGUCGGGGGUUACCCCCCUCGGUGCCGCAGCUAACGCAUUAAGUACUC